GCCUGGCUGACUCAGUCGGUAGGGCAUGAGACUCUUAAUCUUGGGGUCGUGAGUUCAAGCUCCAUGUUGGGCA
rnacentral:tRNA from 1 species